rnacentral:lncRNA from 1 species
GUAUUCUGGCACUGCCCAGACCCUCUGCUCCCCCGGCUCCUUUGUAGUCGGGGCUCCUCAAAUGGGUCCUGGCUGCCCACCGACCCCACCCCCAACUCUGCAUCACAGGUAUCAUCUAAAAGUGCCUGCUUUUGCCCCUCCUUUGGUCCAGGUCCCUCUCUGAGGAUCUACUCACCUGGGACAGAGGAAUGGAAUUGGCUGGCCUCUGCACCCUGUGGGAAACACAGCCCUGCCACUGGCCUGUGUCCCCUUCACUGCCUGAAACUUGAUGCCUGGCAGUAAACAUGUGACUUGCUCCAACCCAGCCCUUUGAAUCCCCUUCUCUCUAGUGCCCUCUUGCCUUGCGUGAUGCCCCAACCCCAACCCAGCCUUUCCUAACCUUGGUCUGUUGCGCUUCAGUCCCAGGGCCUGGCUGCUCCCCUGAACUCCUGACCCCUUUCCUCAUGUCCUUUAGCAUAACAUGGAGUCUCUUUGUGUUGGGUCUGACCUGGAGGCUUCUUGCUUGUGCCCUCCAGUGGGCUCCCCUAGGUGCCUUGUGCUUUUGUCUGUCUUCUGGUCCUCAUGCAACCCCUUCUUCGCCUUUCCCUCACGAAUUCCUCUGGCGCUUGUGGGUCUCCUUCUCUUUGGGUCUCAUCCAAGAACUGUCGAGUGGGUCCCUUUCCUGGGCUGCUAGCUUGGGUCCUGGGUCUCUCCCUCCUGAGCACCUACCAGGACCCUCUGCCAUGCCCUGCCGUCACCCUCCUCCUAUCCCCCUUCCCUUGCCAGGCCUCCUUUGUCAGGCCCCUGGCCCUGGAUUCUAAUCUAGGCCAGGGCAGCUUAUGGGAAACAGAGCCCUGCCUCUCACAUGGGCCCCUUACUCUUUCUGGGUGCUUGGUUCUGUACCCAGAACCCUAACACCUGACAGUGUCCCUGGGCCUGUACCUGUCUGUCCCUGUUGGAUCACCUGCCUUCCCACCCAAGUCUUGUCCACUGUCCUGAGCCCCCUGCCCCUCCCUAGCCCUUGACUCUUCAUUCCCUGUCCUGGCUUCCUGCUUGAACCUCUGAUGGCCCUUGUUGCCCAGAGCGUGCCUGGCUGUUGACUGUGGUCCCCUUGCUUGGGCUACUUUCCUGCUCCCCUUGGUGUUCCUGCUCUGCAGUCCACUAGUGCUGCUUGCCUGUCCAACCCUGCCCUUCCCUGUUCUCCCCUAACAUGAGCCCUCUUCUAAGUCCCUUACCUGGGAUCCUUGUUGGGGUCCAGGCCCUACCUGACCAGCACCUGUACUCCGGCCCUUCUUGCUGUACCCUUCUUUGGCCCUCCUUUCAUUCCUGUCUCUGCCAAGCCCCCUUUCCUGACCCCUUUCCCAGGAUUCACACCCAUGCCAGGGGAGUGGACCUGGCCUAUUGGCCCACCUGGCUCCCUAAGGAAUAAGUAGCCCUGCCCCUUGCCUGGGCCCUUUGGCCUCCUUCAGCCCGGGUCCUGCUCCCCAACCCUGAUGCCUAUCCAUGGACCUGGGCCUUGAACCUUUCUUCCUGAAGAUCUACUCACCUGGGCAGAGGAUCCCAGAUGUAUUCCUCUGCAGAGGUAUACAACCUCCCCCAACACCCAGGUAAGAGGGGUGUAAGAAGGGUGUUCCUCCUGGAGUGGGGAGUCCCUGCUCUGUAGCUGUGGCAGUAUACGUGUCUCACACCCCUAUACAUCAUGAAUGGUAAGUUUGAUAUCAUUUCAAAAUAUUUAAUAUAGGUUUCCCACAGAAGUUGUACUGCAACAGUUACCUGAUUUGAGUGUCCAUG